GGUAGGUAAAUCCGCGGCAUUUAAGCCUGAGAUGUGAUGCCGAGCCGAUUGUGGUGAAGUGGAUGAUCCUAUGCUGCCGAGAAAAGCCUCUAGUGAGUGUUGUGGCGGCCCGUACCCUAAACCGACUCAGGUGGUCAGGUAGAGAAUACCAAGGCGAUCGGGUGAACUGUGGUUAAGGAACUCGGCAAAUUGCCCCCGUAACUUCGGGAGAAGGGGGACCUCUGUUGGUGAUGGGCUUUACGCCUGGAGCUGGUGGGGGUCGCAGUGGCCAGGGGGAAGCGACUGUUUACUAAAAACACAGGUCCGUGCGAAGUCGUAAGACGAUGUAUACGGACUGACGCCUGCCCGGUGCCGGAACGUUAAGGGGACCGCUUAGCUGACGUGAGUUGGCGAAGGUGAGAACUUGAGCGCCGGUAAACGGCGGUGGUAACUAUAACCAUCCUAAGGUAGCGAAAUUCCUUGUCGGGUAAGUUCCGACCUGCACGAACGGCGUAACGACUUCCCCGCUGUCUCAACCGCAGACCCGGCGAAAUUGCACUACGAGUAAAGAUGCUCGUUUCGCGCAGCAGGACGGAAAGACCCCGGGACCUUCACUACAGCUUGACAUUGGCGUUUGGAACGUCUUGUGUAGGAUAGGUGGGAGACUGGGAAGCUGUCACGCUAGUGAUGGUGGAGUCAUUGGUGAAAUACCACUCUGGUCGUUUUGAACGUCUAACUCUGGUCCGUGAUCCGGAUCGGGGACAGUGUCUGGUGGGUAGUUUAACUGGGGCGGUUGCCUCCUAAAGAGUAACGGAGGCGCCCAAAGGUUCCCUCAGCCUGGUUGGCAAUCAGGUGUUGAGUGUAAGUGCACAAGGGAGCUUGACUGUGAGACUGACAGGUCGAGCAGGAGCGAAAGCUGGGACUAGUGAUCCGGCAUCGGCGUGUGGAAGCGGUGUCGCUCAACGGCUAAAAGGUACCCCGGGGAUAACAGGCUGAUCUUCCCCAAGAGUCCAUAUCGACGGGAUGGUUUGGCACCUCGAUGUCGGCUCGUCGCAUCCUGGGGCUGGAGUAGUCCCAAGGGUUGGGCUGUUCGCCCAUUAAAGCGGUACGCGAGCUGGGUUUAGAACGUCGCGAGACAGUUCGGUCCCUAUCCGCUGCGCGCGCAGGAGACUUGAAGGGGGCUGUCCCUAGUACGAGAGGACCGGGACGGACGAACCUCUGGUGUGCCAGUUGUACCGCCAGGUGCACGGCUGGUUGGCUACGUUCGGAAGGGAUAACCGCUGAAAGCAUCUAAGCGGGAAGCUCGCCUUGAGAUGAGGUCUCCCACCACGAGAGUGGGUAAGGCUCCCGGUAGACGACCGGGUUGAUAGGCCGGAGGUGGAAGCACGGUAACGUGUGGAGCUGACCGGUACUAAUAGGCCGAGGACUUGAUC
rnacentral:rRNA from 1 species